rnacentral:rRNA from 1 species
AUGAGAAAUGAUGAGAACUUCCAAGGCCUUGGAAAUCUAGUUGAUCUCUCGGUUAAGAUUGUUCAAACAGGGAGACAUAUAGUUCAUCAUUUGGUGUACUUGCUUUUAAAAUUGGUAUUGAUUCUCCCGGUGGCAACGGCAAAUGUUGAGAGAGCAUUUUCUGCCAUGAGUUUUGUCAAGAACAAGUUGAGAAAUAAGAUAGUCUUUUGGAUGAUUGCCUAG